AACGAACGCUGGCGGCAUGCCUAACACAUGCAAGUCGAACGAGACCUUCGGGUCUAGUGGCGCACGGGGGCGUAACGCGUGGGAACCUGCCCUUAGGUUCGGAAUAACUCCCCGAAAGGGGUGCUAAUACCGGAUAAGGUCUUCGGACCAAAGAUUUAUCGCCUUUGGAUGGGCCCGCGUUGGAUUAGCUAGUUGGUAGGGUAAAAGCAUACCAAGGCGACGAUCCAUAGCUGGUAUGAGAGGAUGAUCAGCCACGCUGGGACUGAGACACGGCCCAGAAUCCUACGGGAGGCAGCAGUGGGGAAUAUUGGACAAUGGGCGAAAGCCUGAUCCCGCAAUGCCGCGUGAGUGAUGAAGGCCUUAGGGUUGUAAAGCUCUUUUACCCGGGAUGAUAAUGACAGUACCGGGAGAAUAAGCUCCGGCUAACUACGUG
rnacentral:rRNA from 1 species